CGCGAACGCAUUUUGCUGAUCGCGAGCGAGAGAAAAAAUCCAAGAUCAAUCCAAGGCAGAUAUCUAAAUAAUCCUUUCUAAUAUCUGUAUAAUAUGAUAUAUAUAUUAUGCUGUAGACCUAUUAUUUGAUUAUAUUGGGUUGUUUUUAGAACGAGAUUGCGAUAUUACCACUGACAAUUUCUGAUUCGAACCCCUGUAAAUCCAUGCGGGUAUCAAACAUAUAAUACCCCCGGAUUUGGUCAGGUUUUUUUGUGCGAUUGGAUGAACCCUUUGACAUCGAGAUGGCGAGCCUACCCACCCGAACCACAGUGAUUUGAGAGGAACGCAAACGGAAGAUUCCGGUAGUGCUUUCAACUAAACAGGUGGAAUCCGUUUUUUUUCAUUGUACAUUCUGAUCGGAAGGAUCAGAUUCUUUUCCCGACGUGGAUCCUUUUGCACUAUUGACUGUCGCAAUACAACCUUCAUCAAAGACUCUUUGCACACACUUACAUAUUUUACACUUUGAUUGACAAAAAUAAUAUUUCUAUUGAGGAGUAAUCGACUGUUAUACUGUUGAGAAAUUUAAUUGUUUCAAUUUGUUUCGAUUUGUCUAUUGUGAUUUAAUGUAAUUUACUUCCUCACAUUUUGUUUUAAUUUUGGUUAAUCAUUUUAUGAGUGGGAACUAAAAGAGUGAGGAGGAACUAAACCCCAAAAUAACAAAAGCUCUUAUUAAACUAAAAGUUAGCGGAACUAAAUAUCUAUAACUAAAAUUAGAAACUAAACGACUAAAAUAUAACUUAAAGCCUAGAAGUAAAUAGUGAACAGAGCUCAAAAGAUAUCUAAAAGAACAGCAAGGGAUUUAAAAGGACAAUUGUUUCAUUUGAUUUAUUUUUAUUUCAUUGUUGUUGUGGUUUUCACAUUUGCUUUUAUUAUCAUUGUUUUGCACCAAUCAAAAUACAUUCAUAUAAUUAGGCAUA